GAAUUGACGGGGCCGCACAAGCGGUGGAGCAUGUGGUUAAUUCGAAGCAACGCGAAGAACCUUACCAGGUCUUGACAUCCCCUGACAACCCGAGAGAUCGGGCGUUCCCCUUCGGGGGACAGGGUGACAGGUGGUGCAUGGUUGUCGUCAGCUCGUGUCGUGAGAUGUUGGGUUAAGUCCCGCAACGAGCGCAACCCUCGUCCUAUGUUGCCAGCGGGUCAUGCCGGGGGCUCAUGGGAGACUGCCGGGGUCAACUCGGAGGAAGGUGGGAUGACGUCAAAUCAUCAUGCCCCUUAUGUCUUGGGCUUCACGCAUGCUACAAUGGCCGGUACAAAGGGCUGCGAUACCGCGAGGUGGAGCGAAUCCCAGAAAGCCGGUCUCAGUUCGGAUUGGAGUCUGCAACUCGACUCCAUGAAGUUGGAAUCGCUAGUAAUCGCGGAUCAGCAUGCCGCGGUGAAUACGUUCCCGGGCCUU
rnacentral:rRNA from 1 species